UACCCGCAGCCCAAGUGGUGGUCAUUAUUAUUGGGCCUAAAGCGUCCGUAGCUGGCUUGUUAGAUGCCUGGGUAAAUCGAUGCGCUCAACGUAUCGACUUCCGGGUAGACCGGCAAGCUCGAGACCGGGAGAGGUGUAGGGUACUCGAGGGGUAGGGGUAAAAUCCUGUAAUCCUUCGGGGAGGACCAGUGGCGAAGGCGCUACACUAGAACGGCUCUGACAGUGAGGGACGAAGCCCUGGGGCGCAAACCGG
rnacentral:rRNA from 1 species